AUUGAACGCUGGCGGCAGGCCUAACACAUGCAAGUCGAGCGGAUGAAGGGAGCUUGCUCCUGGAUUCAGCGGCGGACGGGUGAGUAAUGCCUAGGAAUCUGCCUGGUAGUGGUGUAUAACGUCCGUAAACGGGCGUUUAUACCGCAUACGUCCUGAGUGAGAAAUUGGGGGAUCUUCGGACCUCACGCUAUCUUAUGUGCCUAGGUCGUAUUAGCUAGUUGGUGGGGUAAAGGCCUACCAAGGCUACGAUCCGUAACUGGUCUGAGAGGAUGAUCAGUCACACUGGAACUGAGACACGGUACAGACUCCUACGGGAGGCAGCAGUGGGGAAUAUUGGACAAUGGGCGAAAGCAUGAUACAGACAUGCCGCGUGUGUGAAGAAGGUCUUCGGAUUGUAAAGCACUUUAAGUUGGGAGGAAGGGAAGUAAGUUAAUACCUUGCUGUUUUGACGUUACCAACAGAAUAAGCACCGGCUAACUACGUG
rnacentral:rRNA from 1 species